UCAACUAUCGCUAAAAGUCUUAUCUUUUUUGUCCGUUUUCAUCCGAUAGUUGGUAUUCAUAUUAAAUUCUUGGCUAAUCUGAAAUUUACUUACAUAAGACCCAUUAAAGAGGAAAAUGUUCUCUACCAGAAUUCUUUUCAUUUAUAAUUGCUCGAAACCGAAACAACAUGUUAAGCGCGGAGAAGUUCUAUUCAUCCCAUUCCCACCACAAUCUUUGGUUGGCUUUUUUUUUUUAAUGUUGUUGUUUUUCUAAAAUAAAAUUAAGGAAAAAUCCAUGAGAUUUGACCUUUCGCCAUGGUUUUUUAGUAUUAAAUAGGAGUUUUAAUAGUAUAUGAGUAACUAUAUGAGAUUUGACCUUAUGUUUUAUUUAAAGUUUUAAAUAGGAGUAUUUGGGAUCUUUACACAAAUAAUCAGUUGAUUUUAUAUUUUUU
rnacentral:lncRNA from 1 species